UAAAACGCUCUAUUAUCUUCA
rnacentral:piRNA from 1 species